GAUGAACGCUGGCGGCGUGCCUAAUACAUGCAAGUCGAGCGAACAGACGAGGAGCUUGCUUCUCUGAUGUUAGCGGCGGACGGGUGAGUAACACGUGGAUAACCUACCUAUAAGACUGGGAUAACUUCGGGAAACCGGAGCUAAUACCGGAUAAUAUUUUGAACCGCAUGGUUCAAUAGUGAAAGACGGUCUUGCUGUCACUUAUAGAUGGAUCCGCGCUGCAUUAGCUAGUUGGUAAGGUAACGGCUUACCAAGGCAACGAUGCGUAGCCGACCUGAGAGGGUGAUCGGACACACUGGAACUGAGACACGGUACAGACUCCUACGGGAGGCAGCAGUAGGGAAUCUUCCGCAAUGGGCGAAAGCCUGACGGAGCAACGCCGCGUGAGUGAUGAAGGUCUUCGGAUCGUAAAACUCUGUUAAUAGGGAAGAACAAAUGUGUAAGUAACUAUGCACGUCUUGACGGUACCUAAUCAGAAAGCCACGGCUAACUACGUG
rnacentral:rRNA from 1 species